UGCCUUACACAUGCAAGUCGAACGGCAGCGCGGGAGCAAUCCUGGCGGCGAGUGGCGAACGGGUGAGUAAUAUAUCGGAACGUGCCCAGUAGUGGGGGAUAGCCCGGCGAAAGCCGGAUUAAUACCGCAUACGACCUACGGGUGAAAGGGGGGGAUCGCGAGACCUCUCGCUAUUGGAGCGGCCGAUAUCAGAUUAGGUAGUUGGUGGGGUAAAGGCCUACCAAGCCUGCGAUCCUGUAGUUGGUCUGAGAGGACGACCAGCCACACUGGGACUGAGACACGGCCCAGACUCCUACGGGAGGCAGCAGUGGGGAAUUUUGGACAAUGGGCGCAAGCCUGAUCCAGCAAUGCCGCGUGCAGGAAGAAGGCCUUCGGGUUGUAAACUGC
rnacentral:rRNA from 1 species